rnacentral:snRNA from 1 species
GGGCUUAGCGGGAGGCAACCC